rnacentral:rRNA from 1 species
CGCACGGCGCACGGGUGCGUAACGCGUAUGCAACCUACCCAUUACAGGGGGAUAACACUGAGAAAUCGGUACUAAUACCCCAUAACAUCCAGGGAGGCAUCUUCUUGGGUUGAAAACUCCGGUGGUAAUGGAUGGGCAUGCGUUGUAUUAGUUAGUUGGUGGGGUAACGGCUCACCAAGACAACGAUACAUAGGGGGACUGAGAGGUUAACCCCCCACAUUGGUACUGAGACACGGACCAAACUCCUACGGAAGGCAGCAG